rnacentral:rRNA from 1 species
GUGGGGAAUUUUGGACAAUGGGCGCAAGCCUGAUCCAGCAAUGCCGCGUGCAGGAAGAAGGCCUUCGGGUUGUAAACUGCUUUUGUACGGAACGAAACGGUCCGGGUUAAUACCCUGGGCUAAUGACGGUACCGUAAGAAUAAGCACCGGCUAACUACGUGCCAGCAGCCGCGGUAAUACGUAGGGUGCCAGCGUUAAUCGGAAUUACUGGGCGUAAAGCGUGCGCAGGCGGUUUUGUAAGACAGGCGUGAACUCCCCGGGCUCAACCUGGGAAUUGCGCUUGUGACUGCAAGGCUGGAGUGCGGCAGAGGGGGAUGGAAUUCCGCGUGUAGCAGUGAAAUGCGUAGAUAUGCGGAGGAACACCGAUGGCGAAGGCAAUCCCCUGGGCCUGCACUGACGCUCAUGCACGAAAGCGUGGGGAGCAAACAGGAUUAGAUACCCUGGUAGUCC